UACGUAGGGGGCAAGCGUUGUCCGGAAUCAUUGGGCGUAAAGAGCGUGUAGGCGGCCCGAUAAGUCCGCUGUGAAAGUCCAGGGCUCAACCCUGGAAUGCCAGUGGAAACUGUCGGGCUGGAGUCCGGAAGAGGCGAGUGGAAUUCCUGGUGUAGCGGUGAAAUGCGCAGAUAUCAGGAGGAACACCGAUGGCGAAGGCAGCUCGCUGGGACGGUACUGACGCUGAGGCGCGAAAGCGUGGGGAGCGAACAGG
rnacentral:rRNA from 1 species